CCCUUAGAUGUUCUGGGCUGCACGCGUGCUACAAUGGCGUUUCCAGCAAGUCUGCGAACCCGAGAGGGCCAGCGGAUCUUCGAAUUGGCGUCGUGAUCGGGACAGUCGAUUGCAAUUAUUUGACUCAAACGAGGAAUUCCUUGUAAUCGCGAUUCAUCAUAUCGCGCUGAAUACGUCCCUGCCCUUUGUACACACCGCCCGUCGCUCCUACCGAUUGAGCGAUCCGGUAAAUGUUUUGGAUUGGUGUCGGGGCGGCUAGCUGCCGGUCGCUACGAAAUUUUGUGAACCUUAUCGCUUAGAGGAAGGAAAAGUCGUAACA
rnacentral:rRNA from 1 species